ensembl:lncRNA
AAACACUGCAGUGCAUUGGCCCUCCAGGGUUGUGACCUGCGACAAGUUAAUAAUAUUGAAAAGUGGUUCUUCUACAGAGGGGAAAGAUUCAGCUGUGGGUUGUCAUUAUGUAAACACUCAGACUGUAAGCCACAGAGCAGCAGUUCAAUAAUGAAGUCUGCUGAGGAAUGUCCUACUACAGAGUGAUAGUGCUGAAAUCCUCCUGGAGACCGAGCAAUGAUCACACCGACAGCUUAGGUACAAUUUUUCAGCCACCAAUUCUUGCCUCUGCGCCUGUGGGAGCGAUGCUCAGUGGUGGUGUGGCUGAGGUAGGCCUCGCUUUAUUCCCAACAGCCGAUCCCUGGUCUGGGAGUUUGGGAUCUACGGAUGAAAUAACCCUUCUGAAUUUCCAAGUCAAAGAAUUAGUAUUCUUGCUUUGUGGUCUGGGAGUUACUUAAAGGAAAUUUAAAUUUGAGCUUAAAACACUGUGUUGGCUGUCAGCUUUUCAGCUUCAGAUUUACAUAUGAAAAAGAGGACAUAAUCAGAAAGGAUGGUAUGCACUGCUGGGAAAUUGUGUUAGAUGUGUG